rnacentral:rRNA from 1 species
GUUUCGAAUCCAACUAGGGGAACCUGUCCCUUAAAUCGAUGGUCCACGACAACCUUACCCACCUUAGAAACUUUAUGUGCUGAGUUUAAAGCUCAGCUCUAUGUUCAGUUUGUAUGCCGUCGUCGUCAGCUAGUGUAGAGAGUGAAGGAAACUAGCAAUAGAGAAGUUGAGGUCGUUUUUUCUAGAAAACUUUUUAAGACAGAUCAAGGUGCAGCCUACAGGUGGGGGGGAGAUGGGUUACAAUUUUUUGAGUUCAAAUUGGAUUCUUCUUAUUGAAACAUGGAGAAGAAAUAGGACUUAGAAGUAAUUCUCUUGAAAAGUAGGAGUAUGAAUAGGAUAAGAAGCGCGU